CAGUAGCCGCGGUAACACGAAGGGUGCAAGCGUUACUCAGAAUUACUGGGCGUAAAGCGUGUGUAGGUGGUUGUUUAAGUCUGUCGUGAAAGCCCUGGGCUCAACCUGGGAAUUGCGAUGGAUACUGGGCGACUAGAGUGCGGUAGAGGAUAGUGGAAUUUCCGGUGUAGCAGUGAAAUGCGUAGAGAUCGGAAGGAACAUCUGUGGCGAAGGCGACUAUCUGGGCCAACACUGACACCGAGACACGAAAGCGUGGGGAGCAAACAGGAUUAGAGACCCCCGUAGUCCCUGUCUCUUAUAC
rnacentral:rRNA from 1 species